rnacentral:misc_RNA from 1 species
CCUCCAUCUGCAUUAUGCUAGCUUAAAUCAGCACCACCAGCCAAAAUAAACAAUCAGCUGCCUUGGAAAUUUACACUGUGAGAUCUUUCUUUGUUUGUUGACAUAAAUGCGCUAGGUGACAUGAACUUCAAAGGUCAGAAAGUCACAAGAGGAACAUUUGAGAAAAUAAUUCAUUGAACAAGUUCAAUUUGCAUGUCUGAUGUCUCAUUGUCAGUCUACAAGCCUUAAGUUCACAUUCCCAUAACUUGAUCCUCUACUGUACCAUAUCUCUUGCAGCCUUCAAGGAAACUACGCCAU